UGUUUACCUGCCUGCUUUGCAGUGAACUCCUCCCUAUUGUAAGCUUUGUGUCUGCCAGUCCUUCAAGCGGAAGUUAUACUUGAAUACUCACCUGAUUGCUCUGCAGUGAAGCUCCUCCAGCCUCCUUCGAGAGGAAGUUAUACCUGAAUACUCACCUGAUUGCUCUGCAGUGAAGCCCUUCAAGCUGUAAGUUCUCUGUCUGUUAUUGUUGAAGAAGAGGAUUACGUAUCGGUGUAUUUACCUGCCUGCUUUGCAGUGAACUCCUCCCAUUGUAAGCUCUGUGUCUGCCAGUCCUUCAAGAGGAAGUCAUACCUGAAUACACACCUGAUUGCUUUGCAGUGAAGCUCCUCCAGCUGUAAGUUCUCUGUCUGUCAUUAUUGAAGAAGAGGAUUAUGUAUCUGUGUAUCUACCUGCCUGCUUUGCAGUGAACUUCUCCCAUUGUAAGCUCUGUGUCUGCCAGUCCUUCAAGAGGAAGUUAUAUCUGAAUACUCACCUGAUUGCUCUGCAGUGAAGCUCUCCAGCUCCCUUCAAGAGGGAGUUACAUUUGAAUACUCACCUGAUUGUUUUGCAGUGAAGUUCCUCCAACUGUAAGUUCUCUGACUGUCCUUGUUGAAGAGAAGGAUUACGUAUCUGUGUAUUUACCUGCCUGCUUUGCAGUGAACUUCUCCCAUUGUAAGCUCUGUAUCUGCCAGUCCUUCAAGAGGAAGUCAUAUCUGAAUACUCACCUGAUUGCUUUGCAGUGAAGUUCCUCCAGCUUUCUUUAAGAGGAAGUCAUACCUGAACACUCACCUGAUUGCUUUGCAGUGAAGCUCCUCCAUCUGUAAGUUCCCUGUCUGUCAUUACUGAAGAAGAGGAUUACGUAUCUGUGUAUUCACCUGCCUGCUUUGCAGUGAACUCCUCCCUAUCGUAAGCUCUGUGUCUGCCAGUCCUUCAAGCGGAAGUUAUACUGGAAUACUCACCUGAUUGCUCUGCAGUGAAGCUCCUCCAGCUGUAAGUUCUCUGUUUGUCAUUGCUGAAGAAGAGGAUUAUGUAUCUGUGCAUUCACCUGCCUGCUUUGCAGUGAACUCCUCCCAUUGUAAGCUCUGUGUCUGCCAGUCCUUUAAGAGGAAGUUAUAUCUGAAUACUCACCUGACUGCUUUGCAGUGAAGCUCCUCCAGCUUCCUUCAAGAGGAAGCCAUACCUGAAUACUCACCUGACUGCUUGCAAUGAAGCUCCUCCAGCUGUAAGUUCUCUGUCUGUCAUUGCAAAGCAGACAGGUGAAUACAGAGAUACGUAAUCCUCUUCUUCAGCAGUGAACUUCCCCUAUUGUAAGCUCUGUGUCUGCCAGCCCAUCAAGAGGAUUUCAUAUUGGAAUACAUCCCGGAGUGCCUGGUAGUGGAGCUCCUCAGCCGUUAGUUUUCUGCCUGUCAUCUGCAGAAGAAGAGUACGUAUCCAAAACACGUACCUUAACUGUCCCAUCUCAGACCCUCCGGUCGUAAGUCCUGACCCAUCCUCCCCUUGGGAAGAAGGGAGUACGUCACCUGAAAUACGUACUUGAAUAGUCCUACAGCAGUCUCCUCCCAGUGUGAGCCCUGACCCGUCUUUCCCAUUGGAAGAUAGCGAAGCCAUUCACUAGAGCACCCCCCUAUAUCGCACUCUGUGGGUCCGCAGGACGGAACGACCCUGCCCAGAAGACUCAUCAUUUUUAGAUUCCCUUUUUAUAUUCAAUAAAAUACGGUGUUACUUGAA